rnacentral:rRNA from 1 species
GAUGAACGCUGGCGGCGUGCCUAAUACAUGCAAGUCGAGCGAACAGAUGAGGAGCUUGCUCCUCUGACGUUAGCGGCGGACGGGUGAGUAACACGUGGAUAACCUACCUAUAAGACUGGGAUAACUUCGGGAAACCGGAGCUAAUACCGGAUAAUAUAUUGAACCGCAUGGUUCAAUAGUGAAAGACGGUUUUGCUGUCACUUAUAGAUGGAUCCGCGCCGCAUUAGCUAGUUGGUAAGGUAACGGCUUACCAAGGCAACGAUGCGUAGCCGACCUGAGAGGGUGAUCGGCCACACUGGAACUGAGACACGGUCCAGACUCCUACGGGAGGCAGCAGUAGGGAAUCUUCCGCAAUGGGCGAAAGCUUGACGGAGCAACGCCGCGUGAGUGAUGAAGGUCUUCGGAUCGUAAAACUCUGUUAUUAGGGAAGAACAAAUGUGUAAGUAGCUAUGCACGUCUUGACGGUACCUAAUCAGAAAGCCACGGCUAACUACGUG